UGUCCGGGCCGGCAUGGCAGUUUUCUCGAUGACCGUGCACUCCAACUCCUCCGAUCCAUGGCCGGUUUGCCACGGAGCCACGAUAUACGGCUCCAGGCUCCUCUAAUUUUGGACAAUUUCGAUCGGUUUAGCCACCGAGCUUAUUAGUAAUACUAGUAUUUAUUUAUUUCUCUUGUCAUUUCUCUGCUUGCUUAAGCUGCUUGGAGUUUUGAUUAGCUUGGAAUUGAGUACAUCAGUCAUUUACCUUUCUUAUUAUUUCGAGAGCAAUGCAAAGCAGCCCACCGAGUAGUAGUUGACUAGUUAUUUUGUACUUACAAAUAAAUCCGAAUCCGCAGAUGAUGCCCGUGAGUUCUAGACUCUACAUCGACCUGUGCCUGCCAACUGUGUAGCAUAGUGAUUAGCUGUUGCUUUCAAUGCCCAUUUCAAUUAGUAUUCAAAGCUACCAGCUAGGUUGUUCGGUAACUAUGGAUACUUGUUGCAUAUAGAUUUAUGGUGCUCGGAUGCGCUGUAAUAUUGAUGCUCCAAAUGUGGGACAGACACUUCUAAUUGAUAGGAUAGUCAUGGAGCUCGAAUGUGCUGUGAGAUUGAUGCUUCAAUGCUGGACACAUACCUUAUGAAUAGGCUGCUUGGAUGUGCUGCAAUGUUCAUUCGAUUGCCGAACAAACACCUAUGAUGGAUAUUAU
rnacentral:lncRNA from 1 species